rnacentral:rRNA from 1 species
UAGGACGAACGCUGGCGGCGUGCUUCAUACAUGCAAGUCGAACGAUAAGGUCUCUUCGGAGAUACAUAAGUGGCGGACGGGUGAGUAAUAUGUAGAGAAUCUGCCCUAGAGUGAGGGACAACAGAGGGAAACUUCUGCUAAUACCUCAUAUGCGCGUAGCUGAGAUGCUAUUCGUGAAAACUCCGGUGCUCUAGGAUGAGUCUGCAUCUGAUUAGCUAGUUGGGGGUGUAAUGGACCACCAAGGCGACGAUCAGUAGCUGGUUUGAGAGGAUGAUCAGCCACAAUGGGACUGAGACACGGUCCAUACUCCUACGGGAGGCAGCAGUAGGGAAUUUUGCGCAAGUGGGGGAAACCCUGACGCAGCAACGCCGCGUGAUUGAAUAAGCCCUUCGGGGUGUAAAGAUCUGUCAGUGGGGACGAAACUUGACGGUACCCACAGAGGAAGCAUCGGCUAACUCCGUGCCAGCCGCCGC